CAGGACUGAACAGACCCCAAAGAGGGUUGUAGUUCCAUUGAGGUCUUCCAAAUGCCAGUAGAGAAAGGUGAACACGAAGCCAUAUCCAAAACCCAUGAACCAAGCCACAAACAGCACUGAGCCAUACUGCACGCUGCAGAGCAGCUUGAUUAAGUCCCAAAAGUUGAAGGCCUGCGAGUGGCUUGUGGUGGUUGGUGUCUCCUCAGAGGACUCUGUAGAGUUGUUCCUUUCCACCUGCGGGAUCUCCACCUCUUUCCCUUUAGAAUCAUCGUUUUUGAAAUGGUUGUAGCGGAACCGGAACUGAGUGGCAACGAUCAAGGCCAUGGUCAUGAGAACGCCGAAGACGAUGAAGACGAUCUGAUACUGGAGUGUGACCGUGUCUACGAU
rnacentral:lncRNA from 1 species